rnacentral:misc_RNA from 1 species
GUAUGCAGUUCACAUGUUCUACAGUAAUUAAUUGGGAAACUUAAUCAAAAUAGAAGCUGUAUAUCAGAAGGAUAUUUUGAAAAUGCACUCACAGAGAGAUGAUCCUUGGAGAAUUGCCGUCGUAGCCGCAGUUCAAGCCACUCCAAGUAUAAUUUCUGGGCAGACAUGGGUCUCCUUGCCAGUUAUCAUCUUUAUUAAUCUUGUACGUUUGUUUGAUGGCCAUUAUAGCAUCAACAUCUGCUGGUUCUGUGGGUGAAACAGGGGGCAGCCAGACAAUGAAAAUCUCUAAGGCAUUGAGGAUAGGUGGAUGGUGAGAUCGUGCAGUAGAAUUGAUAGAAAUCUCAACAUAUCCGAUAAUUCUUGAUGAUUUACGAGGUCGAGUACAAAUGGUGAGUGGCUUCAAGUAUUGGAGGGUAAUAGGUCCAUAGUUGUCACCAUUAAAAGUGAUGGAGAAUUCCCUUUGUGGUUCGCCUUGUGAAAUCUGUAAUACUUCGGCGAAGUGAAAGCAAGCAUAAUAUUCAUAGUCAUAAUAAUAAUUAUACAUAAAGGUGUGAUUAAUUGAUCUGAGGGGACUUCGCGGUUGGAUUGCAGUUCUGAAAACAUCAACGGGCGUUUCAACGGUAUUGGUGCUCUGGACAUCAAUAUUUGAGUUGGUGUUCAGUGAAAUGUAAUCAUUAGGAGUAAAUUGGUACCAGACGCGAUCAUAAACAUCAUCAUUGAAC